rnacentral:rRNA from 1 species
CUACGGGCCGCUGCAGUGAGGAAUAUUGCACAAUGGGGGGAACCCUGAUGCAGCAACGCCGCGUGGAGGAUGACGCAUUUCGGUGUGUAAACUCCUUUUAUAUGUCAAGAAAAUGACGGUAGCAUAUGAAUAAGCACCGGCUAACUCCGUGCCAGCAGCCGCGGUAAUACUGAGGGUGCAAGCGUUACUCGGAAUCACUGGGCGUAAAGGACGCGUAGGCGGGUUGGAAAGUCAGGUGUGAAAUCCUGCAGCUUAACUGUAGAACUGCACUUGAAACUUCUAAUCUAGAGUAUGGGAGGGGGAGAUGGAAUUAGUGGUGUAGGGGUAAAAUCCGUAGAUAUCACUAGGAAUACCUAAAGCGAAGGCGAUCUCCUGGAACAUUACUGACGCUAAGGCGUGAAAGCGUGGGGAGCAAACAGGAUUAGAUACCCCUGUAGUC